UGCUUGUGAUCCAUGCCACUGUCAUAGAUGAAGUGAGGUAAAUUACAUUCGCAUUGUGACCUAGUUUGCUAUGUACAUGUAUCUGGUAUAAUAAGCACUAUGAUAUCACAGCCAUCUGUCUGAUCAAUGAGACAUCUACUAAGUGACCAAUGUGCAGGUUUCCAAUGCCUGGGGAAGAGGCUGAGUCCACAGUCAAAGGCUGGUGAAUAGCCACAGGCUUAGAUGUUGGCAAGGUUUCACGGUUUUGCUGUCUCCACAAAAAGAGCACCACCACCAACAAAAACCCUAUUCUUGAAAAACCACCCUGCAGGUAUGUCUCAGUAUUCUCAUGGCUACUGAGGUACCCUGUCAGGACUGUGUGUACCUGACCAGGCGUGGUGUUCAUUUCUGUGAUGAAAAUCUGUCUCUGACCCCAGAAAGUCUCCCAUUGGAAGAAGAGGUCAGAACUCACCAGCCUCAGUGCAGUAGCCAAUAUUUUAAGAUCUUAAAAUAUUUGCUGUGAGAUUUGUGGAGCCCUGAUGACUUGAUGGUGUUUGAUGUGUAGAAAUAGAGAGAUAAGAGUCUGAGCUGGGCCAAACCCGUAAAACUUUAACAGACAACGCAAUAAUUGACAAAAUUUUGCUACAAUGGGAGUAAUUAGAAUAAAGAAAAAUUCAAAUACAAAUUACAGUAGACAUGAAAGAACUACUUAGAAAAGGAAAGGAA
rnacentral:lncRNA from 1 species